rnacentral:tRNA from 1 species
UGCGGGGUGGUGUAACGGUAGCACAGCGGACUCUGGAUCCGCUAGUCUAGGUUCGAAUCCUAGCCCCGCAGCCA